rnacentral:rRNA from 1 species
UGUCGUGAGAUGGUUGGGUUUAAGUCCCGCAACGAGCGCAACCCUUAUUCUUAGUUGCCAGCAUUUAGUUGGGCACUCUAAGGAGACUGCCGGUGACAAACCGGAGGAAGGUGGGGAUGACGUCAAAUCAUCAUGCCCCUUAUGACCUGGGCUACACACGUGCUACAAUGGAUGGUACAAAGGGCAGCAAAACCGCGAGGUCGAGCAAAUCCCAUAAAACCAUUCUCAGUUCGGAUUGCAGGCUGCAACUCGCCUGCAUGAAGCCGGAAUCGCUAGUAAUCGCGGAUCAGCAUGCCGCGGUGAAUACGUUCCCGGGCCUUGUACACACCGCCCGUCACUACACAGCGAGAGUUGGUAACACCCGAAGUCGGUGAGGUAACCUUUUGAGCCAGCCGCUAAGUGACG